rnacentral:misc_RNA from 1 species
GCAAACUUGGUCAUUUAGAGGAAGUAAAAGUCGUAACAAGGUUUCCGUAGGUGAACCUGCGGAAGGAUCAUUAGCGAAAUCCAAAUUGGUCGGUGUCCCGGCGCUGAAAGGGUCGGGCCCGUCCAUCAUCUCACACACCUUUGUCGAACCGUAGGGAGAGCGGCCAACGCCGAUCUCCCGCCUUUUCAUACUCUUAAAGUCUGAGAAUGAAGUCUUGGUGAAAACCAAAAAUACAAUUUUCAACAACGGAUCUCUUGGCUCUCGCAUCGAUGAAGAACGCAGC